UUACUUACAAAUGAAAACUUGCCGGCUCUCCAAACCCUUACUAGUGCCAAUGAACUUUCUUGAAGAGCAAUAUGUAACAUUUCUCUUUUUAAUAAAACCUCUGAACUUCUCUUUGUUCUUUAGACAUACUGAAGACCACCUGGCCUAUGUAUGUAUCUCAAAUUGCAAAUCUUUUUCCAAAUAAAACAUUAAAUUUAGAGAUUCAGCUCUAGAUUUUUGACUUUGACAAUCUUCCUCCUCAUCCUCAUUUUGUUGAUGGCCAUCCUAGUGGCCGCCAUUCUUCUCUUCCUGCUCCUCUUCCUCAUCAUCUUUUUCUGAUAGCUGACCCUUUGGUUGGAGUCUUAGGAUACUACUAUAAAUAAUACAUCUUUCAGAAGUUC